rnacentral:lncRNA from 13 species
CUCUUGCCACUGGCUGCUCUGUCCCGUGGUGCUCUCCGACUACCCACCCUGAGUGUAGAGUAUUUGUCACAGCUGCAUCCUGCUGAAUGUUCCAUUGGUGAAACUGAAGGUCUUCUUACUCAGAAGAAGAAAAUCAAGAAGAAGAACCUUUGGCUUG